CGGCAUUUCAAUUUACAGAACCUGCCACAACAAAUUGGUGGGGUGGACUGUGGGGUGUUUUUGUUGAUUGUAAAUUGAGAUGAAAAAUAGUGGAUAAUAAGGCUAAUCUGUACCAAAUUACUUGGAGUUACAUGCAAACUCAAUAUAUUUUCUUUAUUACAGUACGCACUGCAUAUGGCCCACAAAGAACCAUUUAACUUUACAGCACAUGACAUUCCACACAUUAGAAGAUGGUGGUGCCUAAUUCUUUGGGAGAACUUCUCACUCGGAACGACACUUCACACAUUCUGCUGCUGAUGCUUUGCAUGAUGACAUUGAUCCACCUGUCACUACAUGUAAGCAGGCAAGUUCCAUGUACACUAUGCGUCGUUAUUUAGAGUUACACUAUGUAAUCAUUAUUUAGAGUUGUAAACUAAAUAAUAUUUUAUUAAUUCUAUGUGAUUCCUGUGAUCUUUCAUUUCAGUUGCCAAUAUGUGUUGUUGACCUGGGGGAUGCUG
rnacentral:lncRNA from 1 species